rnacentral:rRNA from 1 species
GAUGAACGCUGGCGGCGUGCUUAACACAUGCAAGUCGAACGAACGGACGCGAAGCUUGCUUCUCUGAUGUUAGCCGCGGGCGUGAGAGUAACACGUGUAUCCCCUACCUAUAAGACUGGGAUAAUUACGGGAAACCGUAUCUUAUACCGGAUAAUAUUUUGCACCGCGGGGUUCAAAGGUAAAUUUCGGCCUUGCUGUCACUUAUAGCUGGUUCCGCGCUGCAUUAUCUAGUUGGUAAGGUAACAGCUUACCAGGGCGACGAUGCGUAGCCGAGCUGAGAGGGUGGUCGGCCACACGGGAACUGAGACGCGGUCCAUACGCCUACGAGAGGCAGCAGUAGGGAAUCUUACGCAAAAGGCGAGAACCUGACGGAGCGGGGCGGCGUGAGUGAUGAAGGUGUUCGGUUCGGGAAGCUCUGUUUUGAGGUAAGAACAGAUGUGGAAUGAAACGUGGAGAUAUUGACGGUACCUGGUCAAGAAGCACCGGCUAACUACGUG